AGUGAACGCUGGCGGUAGGCCUAACACAUGCAAGUCGAACGGCAGCACAGUAAGAGCUUGCUCUUACGGGUGGCGAGUGGCGGACGGGUGAGGAAUACAUCGGCAUCUACUUUUUCGUGGGGGAUAACGUAGGGAAACUUACGCUAAUACCGCAUACGACCUACGGGUGAAAGCAGGGGAUCUUCGGACCUUGCGCGAUUGAAUGAGCCGAUGUCGGAUUAGCUAGUUGGCGGGGUAAAGGCCCACCAAGGCGACGAUCCGUAGCUGGUCUGAGAGGAUGAUCAGCCACACUGGAACUGAGACACGGUCCAGACUCCUACGGGAGGCAGCAGUGGGGAAUAUUGGACAAAGGGCGCAAGCCUGAUCCAGCCAUACCGCGUGGGUGAAGAAGGCCUUCGGGUUGUAAAGCCCUUUUGUUGGGAAAGAAAAGCAGCAGGUUAAUACCCCGCUGUGCUGACGGUACCCAAAGAAUAAGCACCGGCUAACUUCGUG
rnacentral:rRNA from 1 species